GACGAACGCUGGCGGCGUGCUUAACACAUGCAAGUCGAACGGAAAGGCCCUGCUUUUGCGGGGUGCAUGAGUGGCGAACGGGUGAGUAAAACGUGAGUAAACCGCACUUGACUUUGGGAUAACUUCAGGAAACUGGGGCUAAUACAGGAUAGGAGAUCCUGCUGCAUGGUGGGGGAUGGUAAGUUUCGGCGGUUGGGGAUGGAAUAGCGGCUUAUCCGCUUGUUGGUGGGGUAGGGAAUUACCAAGCCUGCGACGGGUAGCCGGCCUGAGAGGCGGACCGGCCACAUUGGGACUAAGGUACGGCCCAGAAUCCUACGGUAGGCAGCAGGGGGGAGUAUUGCAGAAUGGGGGGAAGCCAGAUGUAGCAACGCCGCGUGCGGGAUGACGUCCUACGGGGUGAGAACCGCUUUCUCCUGUGAUGAGGCGAGAUUGACGGUAAUUAGUAAGGAAGCACCGGCUAACUACGUG
rnacentral:rRNA from 1 species